AUGAGGAGAACUGCUGCAGACCUGAAGAUCUGGGUUCGCACUCUUUUCAGUGAUGCAAAAGUUCAGUUCCACCUGGCGUGCGAGGUAGUCCUGCGGCUCGUUGUGGCGCAAGAGCAAAGAAGCUUAACUUCAGCAGAGUUCCAGCUACGCCGGAAACUGAAGCAAAGGCUGCUCGGGUUGAUAGCAGUGGAGCAUGCUAGGAAGAGGCAGGCAUUCAGAAUCUCCUGGCUGCGAGCAGGAGACGCAAAAACAACAUUUUUUCAAGCCAAGAUCAACUCGAGGAGGCGGAAAAACUACAUUCACUCUCUGCAGACAGACACAAUCACUGCUGUGUCUCACGAAGACAAGGUGGCAACAGCACACGAGCACCUCAAAAACCUACUUGGCACCAGGAUCAGCAGAGCUAACACUAUAAAGUGGGAGGGGCUGCACCUCCCCUCUGUCAGCAAUGAGGAACUCGACAACCCAUUUACUGAAGCCGAGGUCUGGGCUACGAUCGUGGCAUCUCCGGCAGAGAAAGCACCGAGCCCCGACGGUUUUCAGGGACGUUCUUCAGAUCCUGCUGGAGUGUGA
rnacentral:rRNA from 1 species